rnacentral:rRNA from 1 species
AGCAGCCGCGGUAAUUCCAGCUCCAAUAGCGUAUAUUAAAGUUGUUGCAGUUAAAAAGCUCGUAGUUGAACUUCGGGGUCUACCCAUUGGUCAGGCUUAAUUGUCUGCACUGGUGAGAUGGAUCUCUACCUUCUGAGGAACUUUCAUGCCAUUUAUUUGGUGUGGUUGGAAAUCAGGACUGUUACUUUGAAAAAAUUAGAGUGUUUAAAGCAGACUAUCGUCUGAAUACAUUAGCAUGGAAUAAUGAAAUAGGACGACUGAUUCUAUUUCGUUGGUUUCUAGGAUCACCGUAAUGAUUAAUAGGGAUAGUUGGGGGCAGUUAGUAUUCA